GUGACUGCAAAACGCCAUGCUUUGCCUUACCUUUCCUGCAGCAGCCAGAUGUUUUCUUGUGUGUGCUACAGAUUGGUAGACUUAAAAUAGAAAGAUUCCAAUCAAUAAACUGCUUUAAAAAAAGAACAGCCCUCUUAAAUUUAUUCUUACUGGGAUGAAAAUGAAAGAUUUCCUUGACUACUUUUCAGUAGAAGCAGUUGAAUGUAAGUUUUGGGUGACCUGAUGUGAUGGUGUGCUUNCUCUCCCCCUCAACCUGACCUCCCUGUAAACAGCACGUAUGCAGGGGCUAGUUGAGCAUGCACCAACUAAGGCCCAUCUAGCAUGCAAAUAUGACUGAGUCAAUCAUCUCCCCCCCAUAAAUAGGGGGCAGCCUGGAGCCCCUUGAGCUCUCCUGCACAGCAGUGGGCUGCACUGCAGAACCUCCUCUUGAGCAGGGACGCUUCUCAAGGUUACUCCUCGAGGUUGAGAGAUUCCUUACCUGCGACAGAUCCUUGUGUGUAGGUACUAAAAGGAAGAAAUAAAGCUGAAGAGACAGAUCCUGAAGUAUGGCAUAUGUUGUGACUCUGCAAUAUCCUGCAACGUCAGUGUUCAGUACUUUGGCUCUAGGUUUCUUAGGAGCUGGUGGAUUCAAAUAGCCUUUACUGAUUGUCUAAGAAAUGCUGUGUUUUGGUGUUCCUCUACUUGACAGCUGGCAGCUGCAGGAGAUCUGCUCCCAGAGAAGCUGCUGUAAAGCUGGCCAUGGGUGUUUGCAAACAGCCAGCUGUUCCGCAGGGCUGGGAAUCCUAAUUCUCAAUUUGACCCAAAUGGGUACAGUUCUGCACAAUUUUGUACUGGCUCAGAAGUGCAAAGCUGAUCAUUUUUGAACAUGCUCGUGAGGUCAUUUUCUGCUGAUUAGUGCUACAGAUUGACCUCUGUAAAACAGUGACAAGCUGACAUUGUUUCUAAAAUCAGUGCUCAGAAGCAAUUUGCCAAUUUAAAACAUUAACUGAUUCAUUUAUGCUUUGUUUGCAUCCUCUGUUAGGUAUAGAAUUGCUGUUCACUUUUACAGAAUGAUUUUAUGUGCAAGUCUUUCUGAUUUAUUUCUAGUUUUACAUUCACACUGCUAGAUUCCACAGAAACCCAAGAGAAAUAACAUUUUUCUGAUCAGUAAGGGAUUAAUAUUUCUGAUGAGAUGUUUCUAACACAGGAGGUUUGCAGAUGUUCUUACACAAGCCUUUAAAAGGACAUUCUUACAUGUGGUGUUGCAAGAACAUAUUCAACAAAUUUUAGGUAAGCAAAUUGACUUAAUUUAAUAAACCACUUUUCAUCAAACUAGAUGGAGCCA
rnacentral:lncRNA from 1 species